rnacentral:lncRNA from 7 species
GCAGGUGUUGGAAGCCUGCAGGGAGCUGCAGGAGCUGAUUGACUGGAGCAGAUUUGCUGUGGCCAGAUGUUUUGUCCUGUUAUGUUAAGUCAUCUUGACAUACUGCCAUGAAAUGGAAAUAACUGCUAGUUUUUACUUUGCUCCGUAUCUUUAUUAAAAGAGUCAUCAAUCUCAUGAGAGUCAUCUUGCCAUCUGUACCAGCAUUGCUCCAGGCUUCCAUAUGAAAGUCCAAUCUGGCGGUAUAAAUACUGGAUAAUGAAGACACUAGCAGAGACUUCACAGUACACACCACUGCUGACCCCAGAAAUGACCCACAGGAACUACUGGCGAAAGGAGCGAAAAGGUUGGCAUCAGAACUGAAGAUCAGGGACCAGCCAACCUCUUUAAAUGUGGUGAGCAGAACUGAUGUGCCUGGGAUACAGCUAACAAAAACUAGAGACCUGUUAAAAGUAUGUAAUUUCAUGAGGAACACUUUGGGACUUAUCCUGCUGUGAAGUCAUUGCUCAAUUUCUCUCAGCAGCAGUAAGGUGCCCACAGUUCUUAAACUGCUGAAUAGCCCCUGUGAAAGUCAAGACACCGGUAUUGUGGAUGACAGCUGAUGCUGAUAUUGGCACACAGCUCAUAGUGCUGUAACAGCUUGAGAUUUUGCUUCAGGGUUCCCAGUGUUUGCGUAGUUCAUGUAUGUCAGGCUCCUGGUUAAUCAUAGCUCACCGUAUGGUGAAUGCAUCCUAUUGACUUGACCGGUUUUAAGCAAUUAAUUUUAAAAAGAUGGCAGUGUCUGUCUUUUGCUGUUUUUCCCACUCUAAAAUAAUAAACUAAAUGCCCGUGGUUUGGACCUAACUUCAACUGUAAGUGUUAGGCAAGAAGGCAGAGAAGAAAAAAGAGAAGACUGUUUUAAAGAUGAAUAUAUGCUUAAAGACAACAACAAAGAAAAACAUUUUCAUGAGCCAAAAAAGAAUGAAUCAGAAUUGGAAAGAUGGCCAGGAUAACUUAAAAGAAUAUAUGGUGAAAAUAAAUGAAGCCUAAUAAAU